rnacentral:rRNA from 1 species
UACGGAGGGUGCAACCGUUGUUCGGAAUUACUGGGCGUAAAGCGCGUGUAGGCGGCUUGGCAAGUCGGGUGUGAAAGCCCCGGGCUCAACCUGGGAAGUGCACUCGAAACUGCUUGGCUUGAGUACUGGAGAGGGAAGCGGAAUUCUCGGUGUAGAGGUGAAAUUCGUAGAUAUCGAGAGGAACACCGGUGGCGAAGGCGGCUUCCUGGACAGUUACUGACGCUGAGACGCGAAAGCGUGGGGAGCAAACAGG